rnacentral:rRNA from 1 species
GCUUACGGCCAUACCACCCUGAAUGCGCCCGAUCUCGUCUGAUCUCGGAAGCUAAGCAGGGUCAGGCCUGGUUAGUACUUGGAUCGGAGACUGCCUCGGAAUACCAGGUGCUGUAAGCU